CACCCUGUCUCUCCUGGACAUUUCAGAAACAUGGGAGUACAAGUUGGGGUGCCCUCCCUGCUUUUAUCCAGCUUCUAUCUGAUUUCUCAGCAUCUCUCCCUGUGGGAUCCAAACUUGCUCACCUGACCAGGAGGUGAAGGAGCAGCUGGCACUGAGGUGCUAGUCACCAGGAUAUGGGACAGGAUUGUAUGGCCUGCCCCAAUCCAGCUGGCUUCUUCUCCAGCAUAGAAGGCAGCCCUAUGAGGUCUUCCUGAUCGCCACUGGGGGACUAGUUUUGAGAAAGGAGUGAGAGCCAGAACUGGGCAGAUUAGCCAGCUAUCUCCAUUCAUAAAGGAGACUUGAGAAUGAGGGCUGAAGGACAGCUGAACUCCAAAUAGAACCACAUUGUAAAAUCCUCCUGAAGAGACUUUGCAUUUUCCUCUUGGUAAGCAUAGUUCUAAGCCUCAAUAAAGCUUGACCAGGAUUUCAAUUACCUGGAUUAUCUUUGUGUAUUUGCCUCCAGUGGACAUAUGAAAAUGACUGCUGUCCUCUGGAGAAGCCCCUAAUUAUUUCCUGUAUCCUUUUUUCCAUUAUCCUUUCCCAAGUACUAUAAACGUUAUUUUGAGGCUGGAGGCAUUUCUUUGUUUCCAGCUGGCUGUAAUUUCACAUCAGGCAGCAAAAACAGAAGCAGAUGUGAAAUAUUUUAUAUAUUUAUAUAUGAAGAACCAGCAAGACAACUAUAGCAUGGAAGUUCAACCAUCUUAACAUUUUUGAAUUUGCUUACCAAUUGUGUGAUCUAUUCUACAGUUGCUGCAGACCCUUCUCUUUCACUGACUAUACAGACGGUACAUCUCAGGAAGCACAGAGAGCCAUAUACGACCGGAGCCUACAGUAGAAGCAGAUGUAAUAAAUAAGGAGGAAGAAAUGUUUCAUAACACUAAGUUCUGCUUACCCCAGUUUUGUUCAGUUUCUCGUUUUAAGAAACUCACAAGAGUAAAAUAGCCCUGGUACAUUUUUUAAGUAUACUUUCUUUUAUCAUAGGACAUACUGAUGAGGGGACUACUCUACUCCAAGUAGAACUUGAAAGAAUUUUUAUUCCUGCCUAAAUUGGUAAUAACUAAUCUUUCCAGAAAUAUACAAAAAUAGAAUUCAUACAAUUGUACUUCUUGUUCUGGAGAAGUGGAUACAAUUAUUUUCCACAUGAAAAAAGGGUAUGCAUUGGAAGGAAAACCACUGCUUCCUUAUUAUGCAAGUUUUUUGGAAACAUUUAUUAUAAGUGAUGUUUAAUAUCUUUUAAAUCAUGAGAAUAUUUUAAGACACUAAUGCCGUUUUUAAAACAGUAGAUGUUGAGGCACAUACAGCUGUCCACCUAUGUAAUUCUAUCUAUAUAAUCAGAUAGUGAGAUGAAUACUUUGUUUGCAUAAUGAAUUUGCACCCACAGUCAACAUACU